rnacentral:sRNA from 1 species
GAUGUCAGGGUCAAAAGGUCAAAACACCGUUCGUGCUUGCACGAUAAGGUGUUUGACUUUGGGACCCGCGAAAUAUGAGAAAGUAGCGAUUUACGUAGUAAAUCAGCGGAUUUCGAAUGUUUCAGAAUUACGGGAGUAGCGUUAGCUACGGAGUAAUUCGUGACAUC